GCAUAUCAAUAAGCGGAGGAAAAGAAAUUAACGAAGAUUUCCUUAGUAACGGCGAGUGAAAAGGAAACAGUCCAGCGCUGAAUCCCUUGACCUAUGGUAAAGGGAGCUGUAGCGUGUAGGAGAGCCUAUCCGUCGAGUUUUCGGCUUCGGAAUCGCCCUCGAAUGGGAGUCCAAAGCGGGUGCGAGACCCGUAACGAAGUCGCGCUAGUCGGUUUGAGCCUCCUUAGAGUCGGGUUACUUGAGAGUGUAGCCCAAAGUGGAAGGUAAACCCCUUCUAAGGCUAAAUAUGACCGCGAGACCGAUAGCGAACAAGUACCGCGAGGGAAAGUUGAAAAGAACUUUGAAGAGAGAGUUCAAAAGGGCGUGAAACCGCUUAGAAUAAAACGGACGGAGCCGUCGGUGGCCUUCCGGAAUCAGUCGUACGACGCGCGAUGGCGCGUUUUGUCGGAGCGAAAGUCCGGCGGGCGCGUUGGGAGAUAGUAGCGUUCGUUCGAUGCAUUUCCGGAGGGUAUGCGCCGCGACCGAUGCGAGUGCUAGCGAAUCCGGCGAUUUGAGGUGGAAACCCCUCACGGGGUCUUCAUUACCAGUUCGUCGGCUUGUAAUGCUAGACGUAAGCAUCGAGCGCGUAAUAUAACAGACACUGGCUAAAGUGCUCGCUUAAGCGGUGGAUAGUCGGCGGAAUUUGCCGUACCUGCUCGCAGGUUAUGCGGAUUACCGUUCGGCGUUUGAAACCGCGGGCGAGUUAGUGUCCUGGCGUCAGCGGCGUCCGAGACGGUCAACCGUCCGACCCGUCUUGAAACACGGACC
rnacentral:rRNA from 1 species